rnacentral:ncRNA from 1 species
UACCUCGUUGAUCCUGCUAGUAGUCAUAUGCUUGUCUCUAAGACUAAGCCAUGCAAGUGCGAGCGCACACCGCUGAACGGUGAAGCCACGAAUGGCUCAUUACAGCAGUCAUUGUUCGCAAGAACUGAUGUCCACUUGGAUAACUGUGGAAAUUCUAGAGCUAAUACAUGCCUCGAACCUCGGUCGCGCGCAACGCGUCGGAGCGCAUUUAUUAGAACAAAACCAAUCGAACGCAGGCUAUCUAUUGGUCUGGGUCCGCGAAAGGUUGGUGAAUCGGAAUAACUAUGCUGAUCGCACGGUCCAGCACCGGCGACGAAUCUUUGAAAUGACCUGCUCAUCAACUUUCGAUGGUACGCUACGUGCUUACCAUGGUGACAACGGUUAACGGAGAAUCAGGGUUCGACUCCGGAGAGGGAGCCUGAGAAACGGCUACCACAUCCAGGGAAGGCAGGAGGCACGCAAAUUACCCAAUCCCAGAUCAGGGAGGUACUAACGGAACGUAUCUCCAUGAGACGCGUUACCGGAACGACUGAGCCGUACACAAGCUCGGCUAAAUCUAUUGGAGGGCAAGUCUGGUGCCAGCAGCCGCGGUAAUUCCAGCUCCACUAGCGUAUAUUAAAGUUGCUGCGGUUAAACCGCUCGUAGUUGGAUUGCGGAUGUCGACGACGGUCGUCCUAAGCAGGAGUCGUUCCGUCGCUCGUCACCUGUUCGAUCAAGAUUGCCCUGGAUGCUCUUCAGUGAGUGUCCUUGGCGACUUGAAAGUUUACUUUGAGAAAAUGGAAGCGCUCAAGGCAAGCCGUAGUGCUUGAACCAUGGUGCAAGGAAUAAUGAAAGAUGGCCUCAGUGCUAUUUUGUGGGUUUGCGGCUAUGAGGCAAUGAUUAAAAGAGACAGACGGGGACAUUCGUAUUGCUGCGUUAG